UAACCCGCCUUACCAUACCGGCCAGUCUUUAACGCCAUGCCAGUAAACGUUGUGUUUUAAGCCUGUUUAUGUUGCAGUGUGAUAUUUAAAACAAGGAAUUUGUUACCAAAAUCAUUGUAUGUAUGGACAUGCUUAAAUAAUUAUAUGCGUGCACACCUCGGUUAUAUAAAAAUUACUUUAAAAGUGAACUAACAGGUAAUGAUGGCUUCAUUCGGUUUUAAAAUGGCCGUUAAGUUUGUGAAGGACGUAUAGGUAUCCAAGAUGAGAACGAUGCAGUAUUAAACACUCCAGUCCUAACUACAUGGAUUAGCCCCGAUGACGCCAGCCCUGAUGACGUUCACGAGAAAAACUAUAUCCAGAUGAAAUAAAAAGUAAUUUGAGGGGACGUAUAAAUCUAAAGGAUAAGGCGUAUAACUGUUAUUCGAAAUGGAGAAACAACCACAACAUUGUUUCAGUAUGAGAAACUCAGGAAACGAGGAAUGUCAAGAAUUGCCAGUGUAUGAAGAUGCAGCUACCUACUCCAUUAAGCUGAAUAGCUGUUGUCGAAUUAUUUUGAUUAAGGAAUGCAGUACGAAGUUAAAAUGAGAAGCACAGAUGAAUCGUAAAAUGAAUUGAAUUUGUGAGAGGUUAUAAUUUUCAGAGAAGAAGAAAGCAAUUGGUCUGCGCAGUAAUUAAGAAGAUCAAAUGCUUGAAAUUGUGACGUAACCGUCUUGGGUGGUCGUGGAUGCUUAAGAGUUGGAGCUUGGAAGGUCAAAAGGGGGAACAAAUUGCAAGUAUAAAAGCCAGGCGCAAGCAUUUCUCCUAAGAAUAUCAUUUUACUGUCUUUCUAAGCUAUUGCAAAUAGCCUACGGCAUGGUACUUUGCGCAGUGACCCAGUGACGAUAUUAUAACCGAUGAAGUAUAACUGAGGCGCAAUUAUUGCUAGUUAUAGGUACGUGACAAACAUUUAAAGGAUGCCUGGAUGAAGAUCAAGUUUCUACACGAGAUGAAGACUAUGCGCCAAAUCGCGCUUGGUGAAGAACAUCGCCUAGAUGCAAUUCUUAAUUAUCUACUUACACCUGAAGUAUGGCAAAGCUUUGAGAAUUCUACAGGAUUUAACGGUGUUUGAAUAUUGCAAUGAGCAAACUGAACUACUUACCAUCCACCUAUGUGGAUGGAAAUUUCAGGCAGUCAAAGAUAUGGUACCACAUUAUAUCGCAUGGAAGAAUUUGCGGUGUGGAAUAUCAUCGGGAAUAUUAAGACUUAGAAUACCAUUAAGAUUUAACCUACUAUUACUACUCAACCGUCGGAAAGCGACAAGAUUAGCUCUCAGGGCACUAUUUAUAUCUAUACGUUUACGUUAGUGUGAUUUCCAAUUGUACCCAGCCUUCCCACGAAAUUAAAACUGUUAUAGAUUUCAUUAGGUAUUCACACAUUGAUACAAAUAAUCUAGUUAUAUGCCUAAGUAGGUACUGAAUUGACUAUGUGCGUAGGUAUAUGUGCAAAUGGUACAGCUAUAAUAUUUGUUCAUAAAUGAAUUAUAUUUAAACACCUUUUUUUAUUCCUGUUUUGUGUAAAUAACAUGAAUGUUGGACUUGUUAACAUAACAACUAAGUAUCUUUAUCUGCCCUUAUACUAUGUAGAAGUAGAAGGAUAGGUAGGAUUGUUUCAGUAUAGGUAUGUUAAUUUAAAACGUAACAAAUUAUAUAAAUACUAAUGUAACAUUACCGAUCGAAUAAAUUCUUUCUUUUU